GCGCCCAUAGCUCAAUGGUAGAGCGGCCGGCUUAUACCCGACUGACCUAGGUUCGAUUCCUAGUGGGCGUACAA
rnacentral:tRNA from 2 species